rnacentral:rRNA from 1 species
AACGAACGCUGGCGGCAUGCCUAACACAUGCAAGUCGAACGAGACCUUCGGGUCUCGUGGCGCACGGGUGCGUAACGCGUGGGAACCUGCCCUUAGGUUCGGAAUAACUCCCCGAAAGGGGUGCUAAUACCGGAUAAUGUCUUCGGACCAAAGAUGUAUCGCCUUUGGAUGGGCCCGCGUUGGAUUAGCUAGUUGGUAGGGUAAAAGCGUACCAAGGCGACGAUCCAUAGCUGGUCUGAGAGGAUGAGCAGCCACACUGGGACUGAGACACGGCCCAGACUCCUACGGGAGGCAGCAGUGGGGAAUAUUGGACAAGGGGCGAAAGCCUGAUCCAGCAAGGCCGCGUGAGUGAUGAAGGCCUUAGGGUUGUAAAGCUCUUUUAGCCGGGAUGAUAAUGACAGUACCGGGAGAAUAAGCUCCGGCUAACUCCGUG